AGUGAACGCUGGCGGUAGGCCUAACACAUGCAAGUCGAACGGCAGCACAGUAAGAGCUUGCUCUUACGGGUGGCGAGUGGCGGACGGGUGAGGAGUACAUCGGAAUCUACUUUUUCGGGGGGGAUAACGUAGGGAAACUUACGCUAAUACCGCAUACGUCCUACGGGUGAAAGCAGUGGAUCUUCGGACCUUUCGCGAUUGAAUGAGCCGAUGUCGGAUUAGCUAGUUGGCGGGGUAAAGGCCCACCAAGGCGACGAUCCGUAGCUGGUCUGAGAGGAUGAUCAGCCACACUGGAACUGAGACACGGUCCAGACUCCUACGGGAGGCAGCAGUGGGGAAUAUUCGACAAUGGGCGCAAGCCUGAUCCAGCCAUACCGCGUGGGUGAAGAAGGCCUUCGGGUUGUAAAGCCCUUUUGUUGGGAAAGAAAAGCAGCAGGUUAAUCCACCGCUGUUCUGACGGUACCCAAAGAAUAAGCACCGGCUAACUUCGUG
rnacentral:rRNA from 1 species